rnacentral:rRNA from 1 species
AGUCACUGACAUUAGAUACCCGUGUAGUCCAGGGUGUAAACGCUGCAGACUUGGUGUUGGAAAUCCUUCGAGGGUAUUCAGUGCCGGAGAGAAGUUGUUAAAGUCUGCUACUUGGGGAGUACGUCCGCAAGGACUGAAACUUUAAAGGAAUUGGCGGGGGAGCACAACAACGGGUGGAGCUUGCGGUUUAAUUGGAUUCAACGCCGGAAAUCUUACCGGGACCGACAGCAACAUGAAGGCCAAGCUGAAGACUUUGCCGGAUUAGCUG